rnacentral:rRNA from 1 species
UACAUGGGGUGCAAACGUUGCUCGGAAUUAUUGGGCGUAAAGCGCGCGUAGGCGGUUACUCAAGUCGGAUGUGAAAGCCCUCGGCUUAACUGAGGAAGUGCGCCCGAAACUGAGUAGCUAGAGUACUAAAGAGGGUCGCGGAAUUCCCGGUGUAGAGGUGAAAUUCGUAGAUAUCGGGAGGAACACCGGUGGCGAAGGCGGCGACCUGGGUAGAUACUGACGCUGAGGCGCGAAAGCGUGGGGAGCAAACAGGA